UUCGAUGCAACGCGAAGAACCUUACCAAGGCUUGACAUAUACAGGAAAAGNNUAGAAAUACGCUCCCCGCAAGGUCUGUAUACAGGUGGUGCAUGGUUGUCGUCAGCUCGUGUCGUGAGAUGUUGGGUUAAGUCCCGCAACGAGCGCAACCCUCGUCCUAUGUUGCCAGCACGUAAUGGUGGGAACUCAUGGGAUACUGCCGGGGUCAACUCGGAGGAAGGUGGGGAUGACGUCAAAUCAUCAUGCCCCUUAUGUCUUGGGCUUCACGCAUGCUACAAUGGCCGGUACAGAGGGCUGCAAUACCGUAAGGUGGAGCGAAUCCCAAAAAGCCGGUCUCAGUUCGGAUUGAGGUCUGCAACUCGACCUCAUGAAGUCGGAGUCGCUAGUAAUCGUAGAUCAGCAACGCUACGGUGAAUACGUUCCCGGGCCUUGUACACACCGCCCGUCAAGUCACGAAAGUCGAUAACACCCGAGGCCGGUGGCCUAACCGCAAGGA
rnacentral:rRNA from 1 species